CGAGAGAUCGGGCGUUCCCCCUUCGGGGGGACAGGGUGACAGGUGGUGCAUGGUUGUCGUCAGCUCGUGUCGUGAGAUGUUGGGUUAAGUCCCGCAACGAGCGCAACCCUCGACCUUAGUUGCCAGCAUUCAGUUGGGCACUCUAAGGUGACUGCCGGCUAAAAGUCGGAGGAAGGUGGGGAUGACGUCAAAUCAUCAUGCCCCUUAUGACCUGGGCUACACACGUGCUACAAUGGGCGGUACAAAGGGU
rnacentral:rRNA from 1 species